CAUGCAAGUCGUACGAGAAUUGAUCCUUCGGGAGACUAUUCUAGUGGCGAACGGGUGCGUAACACGUGAGAAUCUGCCUUUAGGAAGGGGAUAACUUCUAGAAAUAGAAGCUAAUACCCUAUAGGCCUUACGGUGAAAGAAGAAAUUCGCCUAAAGAGGAGCUCGCGUCUGAUUAGCUAGUUGGUGGGGUAAGAGCCCACCAAGGCGACGAUCAGUAGCUGGUUUGAGAGGAUGAUCAGCCACAUUGGAACUGAGACACGGUCCAGACUCCUACGGGAGGCAGCAGUAAGGAAUAUUCUGCAAUGGGCGCAAGCCUGACAGAGCAAUACCGCGUGAGGGACGACGGCCUACGGGUUGUAAACCUCUUUUCUCAAGGAGGAAGAACUGACGUUACUUGAGGAAUAAGCGUCGGCUAACCCUGUGCCAGCAGCCGCGGUAAUACAGGGGACGCAAGUUUUAUUCGGAAUCAUUGGGCGUAAAGCGUCUGCAGGUUGACAUAAAAGUCUUUUGUUAAAUAUCAGAGCUCAACUCGGAAUCUGCAAAAGAUACUAUAUGUCUUGAGUAUGGUAGAGGUAGGGGGAAUUUCCAGUGGAAGCGGUG
rnacentral:rRNA from 1 species